UUUUGUUUACAAAGAAAUGAACUACGACACAGAGAAGAUUAGCAUGGCCCCUGCACAAGGAUGACACACAAAUUCAUGAAGCCUCCGUAAAAAGA
ensembl:snRNA U6 U6 spliceosomal RNA